CUCAGACCUCCUGCUCAUCAGAACCAUGAGCUUCACCUCCGUCCUCGUCUGGACGCUGCUCUGCUGCUGCUUCUCAGAGUCCAGGGGACAAGUCACAGUGACCCAGCCUGGAGCCGUGAGAUCCGCUGUGGGAGGCUCCGUCACCAUCUCCUGUAGAACCAGUGAGACGGUUUAUAAUUCAAACAGUCUGGUCUGGUACCAGCAGAGAGAUGGAGGAGCUCCCAGACUGAUGAUUUACGAGGCUUCCACUCGAGCUUCAGGGAUUCCAGGUCGUUUCUCAGGCAGUGGCCGUGGCUCUGACUUCACUCUGAGCAUCAGUGGAGUCCAGGCUGAAGACGCUGCCGUCUACCACUGCAUCGGGGAGUUUGCUGCCAGCAAGUGGGAUCUGCUCACACAGUGA